rnacentral:tRNA from 1 species
AGGCAGCGCGUUCGGCUGUUAACCGAAAGGUUAGUGGUUCGAGCCCACCCUGGAGCG